rnacentral:lncRNA from 1 species
UCCACCGCAAAGACCUUGAUUACAGUUACCAUCAAUAUUGAGUUUUACAAACAUAUUAGGAGAGUUUUUAUCCACUUUAAUAUGGUUGUGGUUCUGUUAUUAAUUUUAGUAUCUUCAAAGUCACCUCAUUCCUUGUUCCCUACCCAAAAUACUAUCAAUGGCGAAUCUACACCUCCAUCAGCCUCACCCAUUUAUUCUCAAC